rnacentral:lncRNA from 1 species
GUGCUUCAGUAAAUUAACUCCUCUAUGCUGACUUGCUGGAAACUUCCUGGAGAAAUCUAUGGCGAGGCUGAUUUCACAGGUAAGCAAACUGAGGCUUAGAGGGCUGAGGGAGCUUCCAGCAGGUUGCAGUCUGUGUGGAAUGGGGACCUGGAGACACACAAGACAGGGCUGUGGGCUGGGAGAACCAGCGCAAGCGCGAUGCUGCAUCUGGGGCGCAUGCAUCUCCUGCAUGUCAGUGGUUCCUUUUUCUCUUUUAUUACACUCUGGGCUCCUCGAAAGCAGAGACCCUGUUCUCAUUUAUCUCCACAGUAACUUGCAAGGAGGUCAGCUUUUAGGCUUUCACGGAUAUUUGGUCAAUCAGCGAAGAAGAGACGGAUCCAGAGAAGGGAAGCGUCAAGGAGGGAGACAAGGAGCUGCCAUUUGGGACAAGUGCCCUUCUAAAGGACAGGAGAAGGAGCUAGCGGGCAAGAUCCGCGAGUCCAUGUAAACAUGGUACGCCUGGAGGAACUAGUGGCUGUUACCGCCACCACUUACAGGAGCUCAGAGGCAAUGGGUGUGCCUCCUGCAAACACAUUGUGACCAGGAUGCUUGAAUCUUGUUGAGAGAAGCCAUGUUCUAGGGUUGCUGAAGCAGAAGACAGACUUGGGGUCUCACAUGAUGUCACGGGGGCUCCCCUAGUACUCCUUGGCCACCUCCCUCUGAGGGACUCUGGGUUAUGUGAGGGAAAAACAAUUCCUUGCAUUCAGGAUGCAUUAGCAGCCAUGUGCAUGUCCUCACUGAUUCACAGCUGAUAGCAAGGGGUAGCUUUAAGGUGGGGGGACCUCACUCAUUUAUGGGCCUGGCUUAGAUCACCCCUACCGACCCUCCAGCCUCUCACAGCGCAGACCCCAUCUCCACUUCCUGAGCCUGUGGUUAGGCCAAGGCAGAGCUCCUGUGGGCUCAUCUGCCUCUCAACUUUCCUCUAACACGAAGCAGCUGGUGGGGACCGGGCUGGGGGCCCAAAGGAAGAAGUAGACCUUUGAGUCGCCGCACCUCCCACUGUUGCCUGAAGGGGGCGUGCUCAGUCCACUUUGUGCGCUCAAGGGCCCAGCUGCAAACCAUCAGGCUGCUUAGCAAAACUUGACAGCCACCUGCUGGUUGCUUAUCGAAUAGAGCCAGUUAAGCCCCUAGUCAGUGGCUGCACCAGGCCAUGGCCACGUGGGGUCGCUACACCCUCAGGAAUGAAGAGACAAUGGCGUCUCUUCUGCAAAGCUGCCCUGCGGGGAGCCAGCUCAAGCCCCUCCCUGCAGUCAGGAGGGCAGGGUCCUGUGGUCUUUGCUCCGGAAACGAGUCUUCGGAAAUGCCCGGGACUUCAGAUGUCAUAGAAUAUGGAAUUUAAAAAGGUAAGUUUCUUCGGUGCAAAAAUUUUUGAAAUCCAUGCAUAGGAGGAUUUUUUUUUUUUUUUUUUUGGACAGGCAGAGUGGACAGUGAGAGAGAAAGGUCUUCCUUUUUGCCAUUGAUUCACCCUCCAAUGGCCGCCGCGGCCGGUGCACCGCG